rnacentral:rRNA from 1 species
AGAGGUUACUGCUAUCGGAGUUCGAUUAAGCCAUGCGAGUCGAGAGGGUUCGGCCCUCGGCAGACUGCUCAGUAACACGUGGAUAGCCUACCCUCGGGUCGGGGAUAACCCCGGGAAACUGGGGAUAAUACCCGAUUCGUUACCUGUGCUGGAAUGCUUGGUAGCAUAAAGCUCCGGCGCCCGAGGAUGGGUCUGCGGCGGAUUAGGUUGUCGCCGGUGUAAUGUACCGACGAGCCGAUAAUCCGUACGGGUUGUGAGAGCAAGAGCCCGGAGAUGGAUUCUGAGACACGAAUCCAGGCCCUACGGGGCGCAGCAGGCGCGGAAACUUUACAAUGCAGGAAACUGCGAUAAGGGAACUCCGAGUGUCUGGGACAUUCUCAGACUGUUCGGGUACCUAAAUAGUAUUCGAUAGU